rnacentral:SRP_RNA from 1 species
GCUGGGCAUGGUGGCACAUGCCUGUAAUCCCAGCCACUCAGGAAGCUGAGGCAGGAGAAUUACUUGAACCCGGGAGGCGGAGUUUGCAGUGAGCCGAGAUCACGCCACUGCACUUCCAGCCUGGGUAACAGAGCAAGACUCUGUCUCAA